UAGGGAAUCUUCGGCAAUGGACGGAAGUCUGACCGAGCAACGCCGCGUGAGUGAAGAAGGUUUUCGGAUCGUAAAGCUCUGUUGUUAGAGAAGAACGUUGGUAGGAGUGGAAAAUCUACCAAGUGACGGUAACUAACCAGAAAGGGACGGCUAACUACGUGCCAGCAGCCGCGGUAAUACGUAGGUCCCGAGCGUUGUCCGGAUUUAUUGGGCGUAAAGCGAGCGCAGGCGGUUCUUUAAGUCUGAAGUUAAAGGCAGUGGCUUAACCAUUGUACGCUUUGGAAACUGGAGGACUGGAGUGCAGAAGGGGAGGGUGGAAUUCCAUGUGUAGCGGUGAGAUGCGUAGAUAUAUGGAGGAACACCGGUGGCGAAAGCGGCUCUCUGGUCUGUAGCUGACGCUGAGGCUCGAAAGCGUGGGGAGCAAACAGG
rnacentral:rRNA from 1 species